rnacentral:snRNA from 1 species
AUCGCUUCUCAGCCUUUUGGCUAAGAUCAAGUGUAGACCUGUUCUGUGAGCCAAUAUAUGGUCUAUCUUGGAGAAUGAUCCAUGUGCAGCCAAAAAGAAUGUAUAUUCUGAUUUUGUGGGGUGGAAUACUCUAUAAACAUCUAUUAAGUCCAUGUGUUCCAAAGCUUGGUUCAGUUCUAUUAUUUCAUUGUUGAUUUUCUGCCUAGUAGAUCUG